GGGCCCGCACAAGCGGAGGAACAUGUGGUUUAAUUCGAUGAUACGCGAGGAACCUUACCUGGGCUCGAACGUGAUAGGAAUAUAUGGGAAACUGUAUAGCUCUUCGGAGCCUGUUACGAGGUGCUGCAUGGUUGUCGUCAGCUCGUGCCGUGAGGUGUCGGCUUAAGUGCCAUAACGAGCGCAACCCUUAUCAUUAGUUGCCAGCGGGUCAAGCCGGGAACUCUAAUGAAACUGCCAGCGUAAGCUGUGAGGAAGGUGGGGAUGACGUCAAAUCAGCACGGCCCUUACGUCCAGGGCCACACACGUGUUACAAUGGGGGGUACAGAGGGUUGCUACUUGGUAACAAGAUGCUAAUCUCUAAAGCCUCUCUCAGUUCGGAUUGUAGUCUGCAACUCGACUACAUGAAGCUGGAUUCGCUAGUAAUCGCAUAUCAGCCAUGAUGCGGUGAAUACGUUCCCGGGCCUU
rnacentral:rRNA from 1 species